AAGUCGUAACAAGGUUUCCGUAGGUGAACCUGCGGAAGGAUCAAUGCGAGUGAGUGGGGAAAGAGGGAGAUGUGUAGGAAUGUGUGUGUGUGUAGAUUUGGACUAACAAUAUAUUAAUAACAACAUUGAAAGACUCGCCACCUGGGAUCUCUUGGCUCUU
rnacentral:misc_RNA from 1 species